rnacentral:lncRNA from 1 species
UACGGGGAUGGUUGUUUAACCACCACGAAAUUGACAGGGAUGGUUCGGCAUUUGGGCACCUGCCCUACCGUGACCAUCAGGGUGAUCAUUCCCUCCGGGUUGAUAGGCGGUCCAGUGAAGCCCACCAGGGGUGUCCAAACCGGGGUCAACUGUCCGUCCUCCAGACCGAGCUCUUUGAACACCCGGUAAAACAGGAUGUCCACCGCACUUUCUUGGUCGACGUACACCUUUUUCACCCGAUAGUUCUUGGUGACGACGUCUAUUACAAUGGCCUCGUGGUUUCCGGAUGCCAGGGAAACCGCGUCCCUUGGUCCGAAGGUGAUUUCCCCAUCCAUGCGCAGGUGUUUCAGGGAAUCAUCUCCCUUGGGGGGAGGUCGCCUGUUUUUCCGAGUUGUAUGGCUGUCCCCCCCGUGGGACCCCCAGCGAUGGUGUUUAUCACCCCUGCCAAGUUUUAGGUGUCCUGGUCGGGUGAGUUGCCCCGAAAGACGUCACGCCGUUCAGGGCGGUCGCGACGCUGGAUCUCGCCCCUGUCUCCGCGGUAGGUGCGUCCUGGUUCUUGACCCGGUCGACCUUGCCGCACGAAUCGUCCCAGGAAGCCGCGCUGAAUCAGAUCCUCGAUUUCCUUUCGCAGGGCCCAGCAUCUCUCCGUGUCGUGCCCGACGUCACGGUGAAAGGCACAGUACCGGUCCUGAUUCCUUUUGUUCCGGGGGGUCCCCAUCCUGGGCGACCGUUCCCCUAGACCUUACGCCUCCAUGACGGCUAGGAUCUGGGCCCUAGGCCGAGUCAGGGGGGUGUAGCCUUUCUCCGGAAGUGGCGGCUGAGCAGGAGCUUUCUCCUUUGAGAGUCGAUAAAAAACGUUUUUCUUGGCCGGGAUAUCCUUAUUCUCGGGGGGAUUUCCCCGUCCUCUCCGAUCUCCGAACUCCCGAUCUGACUCUUUCUUCAGGCGGGCCGCCUCCUCUGCAUUAGCUGCCGCAUGCGCCCUGGUCAAGAGUUCCCCCAGGUCUCCGGGAGGCUUCUCGGACAGCUUGUAGAAGAGCUUCUCUGCCCUGAACCCGUUCAUGAAGGCGGCCAUGAUCACCUUUUCAUCCUUGUCCCUGAUCUGCAAGCUCUCCAUGUUAAAGCGAGUCAUGAAAUUCCUCAGGGACUCGUCCGGCUUCUGCCUGAUCGCCAUCAGGUGAGUCGCGUUCUUCGAAUAAGUUUUCGAAGAGACGAACUGGGCGACGAACUGCCUAGCCAGUUCGGAAAAACUUCGGAUGGACCUCGGCGCCAGGGCCUGGAACUAGAGCCGAGCCUGCCUCUUUAGGAACAUGGGAAAGGUCUUGCAGCGGAUUUCAUCCGCGGCUGUUUGCAGACGCAUGUGCGUCAGGAAGACCGAGAGGUGGUCCUCCGGAUCGGUCGAAGCGUCAUACAGUUCAAUGUUCGGGAUCUUAAACCUCCGCGGUAGUGGGUAGUCCUCUAUCUCCCGGGUAAAAGACGAGGUGGUGUAGUUGUCCUCGUACAACUGUGGCCGCAAGAUCUGCUCGAGAUCGUCUCGAACAGGCUUCCACUGGGGAAGGUCGCGCGAUCGGCUUUUGACAGAGCGGCGAGGGAGCGCUCAGGCUCGCCCCGCGCAGGCUUCCGUGGUGAGGGGUUUCUCGUUCUACUCCCCGCAGACCGUUCGCGGGAGUACCUCUCGCUAUCCCCGACCACCGAGGCCCAUGGGCGAGGGGGAAUCCGUGGCCGUUUCCGUCUGGGGGGCUAGUCCCGUGACUCACCCUCCGUGGGGUCGGGAGUUGAUUCCUUCUCCUUCCCCCUCGCCUUGGAGGUCUGCGCGCCCCCGGCUUCGCCUCCCUCCUUCGCCUGCCGGAUCAUAUCCUCCAGCAUGGGGAGGUUCUCUGUCACGAAUUGGAGGAUCUGCUGUCUUCGUUCUCCUGAGAAGGCUGAGCCUCCGGCGCCCCGAGCCGCCUCGGUCUCCUUUCGCUGGGAUCUUUCGCCAGCCCCGGGAUCGGUGGUUUCCAUGGUUCGCUUAGAACGAGUUCUCGCCAUCAACACAACUGCACUUACCUUUCGUUCCCACUGACGGCGCCAACUGAAGAAGCGCUGAGCUUCCCCGGACCGAGCUGACCUGAUGAGCUAGGCGUGCUGAUGGGAAGAACGUGUCCGACCCUGCAAAACAAACAGAAAGUGGUCUCUAGGGAGACUAACUGGGGAGCCCCGAGGUGAUCCCCGAGGGCACUCCGACGGUCAAGUUAGUUUUCCGGUGAGUGAAGUUCACGGGAAGUAAAGCAGUCGGGAGUAAUUGGCCAAUAGUGAGCGUACCUUGUGCAAUUGGUGUGCGUUACCAUUUAUACCUGCUUGUGAGUCCGACCUCUAUACGUUUCGGGACUUGCCCGAGUUAAUCUCAAUCCCGCGCUGAGGGGGAUUCUCCCCGCCCUCUGCGGGAUUGUUUCCCGGAGCCUCUCGGAGCCCUAGUGGUGAUGUGCCCCAGGACGGUUGUCAGGGGCCUGGGGCCCAAGGCCAGCUCGGCCGUUCCCGGGCUGCCACGUGUCUAGGCCCAGGACGGGGCCUCUGCACAAGGGUCUCUGGGCUUUUGGUCCGACUAAUCCCGUGUGACCCUAGAGGAGAGGUCUUUCCUCCCGAACACGUUAUCCCGGAGCUUGAACCAGGGUCGGCAGCCUUAAGGAAGAACUGGCCGAGCCCGAGCUACUCGGGGCUCGAACACGUUCUUUGAGGUUUUGAAAGGAUGCAUUUUUCGGUUCUUUCGGAGAUCUCUUGCGAAGUGUUCAUGCUACUUUUGGAAUGGACCUCCGUUCGUUUCCGCACAUUAGCGCUUUUAAAAGCAUAUAGUUAGAUUUUUUCCUUUCUCCGACAGUGAAGUUUUGUAAGCCCUUUGGCGUUUCAUGAGCUCGGUGUACUUUUUACUUGUGGGCUAAUAAAAUAAGGGGCUGAUGCCACUCUUUUUUCAAAAGACAAAAAAAGGAGUAUAAAACCACUUGAUAGAGACAAAAUUUUGGAUAGACCUAAUUAAACUCGUAGAUCUGGUAAUCCAAAUUUUGCCACAUCUUCAAUACUUGAGUUAAUGAGAUGGUGUGACAAAUUUUGAACUGCUAAAUCUACGUAGACAGAGUCUACUCAAGUGUUUGAUAUUGACAAAUAUAUGUAAUGUUGUACUAAGAAUAAAACUAAAUAGUGUUAGCUCAAAAAAAAAAACUAAAUAGCCUUGAUGGAAUUAACAUGUGCUCUUAGUGUUGGAGAGAAUUUCUCUUCAAUAUACUCCAAUAAUAUUAAUAUAAAAAUUAUUUCAAAAAUCAACACCAUUCAUAGUCUAUUUUAUUAGUUGUAUUAGUUAUAUAUAAAAUUUCAUGUGAAAUUGACUAAGUUUCACCCUCUGAUUUUUUUUCCACAAACGACAACAUAUUUCAUUAAUGUUAACACUAGGAUUAAUUACAAAAGGGGAUACUACCCUCAUUUCCUUCUUCCCUAACUCAAUCAGCCAUAUUGGGAAGUCAUGUUCCCAUUCAAUAUUAUGCACCAGUUUAACUGCAAAAUGAGCUAGUGCAUGGCUGAUUUCGUUUUCUGUUCUAGGAAUAAACACAAAAGAACACCUGUCAAAGCCUGUUCUAAGAUCCUGUACAUCUUCUAGAAUAGUUGCAAUGCUGUAAUCAUAUUCACUACAAUCCUGUACAUCUUCUAGAAUAGUUUCACCCUCUGAUUGAUACUUACAAAUUUUAUUACAAUUUUGAUUCAUUUUUCAUUCUUCAAAUGUUUCGAGAAAAUUGAACGCCAAGGUAUUCACAAAAAGAAUACCAUUUUUAGUACGUUAAUCUAGAGAUCAAGAGAAAAAUAAUGACACAAUUGGAUGAAUUUAUGAGUUUAAAAAAUUUUAGAUAAAGGUAAAUAGGUAAUCCAGAGGGAGAAUAUUUGUUCUGCUACUCCAGGCUUUCACACCCAACGAAGCCAUAUACAGUUCAAGGUGGGUAAUUACACCCCUUAACUUUGGUAAAAAUCACGACAGCCUUAGGAAAAUUGAGAAGAUAAAUUUUGCCCUCCCUCCUCCCCCAAAUUUUGUAAAAUUACUGUUUAUAGUUGCAUUGCCCCCUAAGCUAUUAAGAUAUCAUAAUAAUUAUCUUUUGUUGGACUCUUGGAUCUACUUUAAGUUAUAUAACCAUUGAUCCAUUUGCAUUGAAAGUUAUUUGAAAAUUUUACUUGACUAUAGCAAUUUUUUUAUGUGAACUAUUUGAGAUGACAAAAAUGUUGGAAAAUGUAUGUUAAGGCUAAUAAGAAAUAUUUUUCUAAAUUUUUUAUGUUCUCAACUCAAAUAAGUAGAAUGGUCUUUUUGCUAAACUAAAGUCACAAAAUUAGAUUUAAUGAUACAUGUAACAAAAAUGUGUAUCAAACAGUGUUAUUAAUUAUGUCGAAACAUGACAGUCACAUAUUGCGCUCUCUAAUUUAGGGUCCUGGCUCCUCCAUUGUUCACAUCUUGCAGUCGAAAAUAAUACCCUUAACGUCACUAGUUGCUUAGGGAACGGUUUCACUUUUUUCAUGGGUUGGAACAAUUUUGAUUGUUCAAUUCAUGGAGCUUUAUAUGCCACCCAACUAUACUUAUAGGAUAGGGACCAUAGUUGGGCAAAAAGGGGUCAAAUCUUAUCAAAAUUCAACCCUCAGUUUUUCACUAAAACCCUUUUUUUUAAUGAUAAUAGAAUUUAUUACCUAGUUAAUUAGCCAGUAAUUAAUCCAAAACCAGAUUGUUUUUUAGCUGAAAGUAUUAAGAAUUUAAGUCAUUCUUUUCUUGUUUGGCAGCUUUUAGUCCCAAUAGAACAUCAUGGAAAUUUUUGGCUAGAGCGGCAGCUCUUCUAUCUUAAGUCUACCGUAGAAUUUUUUCAAAAACAUGAGAAGUUUAAAUCGUAGAGAUACCUAAUUUGUUGGCUUUUUUCUGCAAACAGGGAAGGGAGAAAAGCGAAAAGAUCAUUGACAUUAUUGCUAGGCCAAGCCUAGUGUUUGGUCCCUUUCAAAUUUCCAACUCCAGAAAAUAAUACUAAUAAUAAAAAUAUAAUAUUAAAACUCAAAACAACAAUCACUUGUGUUUGGAUGUAUAUAUUGUAAAAAUUCUGAAAAUCUUUUAGUAAUUGUCGUUGCGGUUGGUUCCCCUAAAUCGGGUCUUGGAUUGAGUUGCGUUAUCCGAACCCACUUUGGCUGGACAGAUCUUCCCAAGCUCAUCAAACUCAAAGCCGCCUUGCUGGUGGCUCCACGCUAUCUCCGACAAGCAAUUACUAUAACCCAUCUCGAUCUUUUUUUUUUUUUUUUUGUCAUUCUCUUUUAUAUAAAGUGUAUACAGGAUUUCAUCUUAUCUAAUUUAAAUUCACCAAUUGAUUUAGUAAAUGAGGUCCCAUAUUUAUGUGUAUCUUUCACCUAAAAUAACAUUUGUAUCUAUAAGCUUCACUGCUUUGCAUGAAAGAUAGGGCCCAGUUGUUCAAACGUGAAACUGCAAAGUUAGAAGUUAAAAUCCCGUUUUGAAUCGCUGUUUUUAAAUUUUUUUAUAAAAAAAUAUACCGUAACAAUUUGAUACAAGAACCAAUUGGUUGGAUGGGUGUUUCUUGUGGGUCUCGCUUAGAUUGCUCUUCUUGGGCCGGUUUAAUUGUUAAUUCCGGUGUGUUUAGUCUAAUUAUAGAAUGUGUGUGUUUAUUUCAGUUUCUGAAAAAAAACAAUUUGAUACAAGAAAAAAUAAUUAAAAAUAUAUUUAUAAAAAAUAUAUAAAAUAUUUCGAUAGAAAAUUACAAUCUAAACACCACUGAACAAACAAUAAUAUCAAUACGUCACCAUGUACUUCUUCGUGCAAAUUACACGCAAACAUCCCGGAAAAAUUGCCUGGGACCAUUGUCAAAGGCUUAUGGGUCCACAUAGGUUGAGGCAACCGGUAGGCAACGGUAGGUGAAUUACACAGGAGAGGAACGUGGGACUUUCUAAAGGACUUAAGUGCACGUAUGAAUAUACAUUAGAUUGGAUUAAUAAAUGCUCAAUUGGAAGAACAUAAAGAUCCGAGAGACAAUAAGACACAAACACCAAAUUCCUUUUCUCAAAACAUGAAUCCAAUGGCCAUCAUUUUCCAGUUUUAAUAAUAUUCAAUUUCUAUGCGUAUGAUUGUGGAAAAUUCCUCCAAUUUCUCUUAUGGUGGCCAACUCUAUUACUGAACCAAAUAACUAACACUAACUGUUUAGUAAAAGUUCAUUAUUCACUAUCAUUAUCAUUAGUUAAUGAUAAUGGAUUUUUGUUGAACCCAUAAAAUGUUAGGUAACUUAAAAAAUAUAGGUAUAGCUUUUACAUUUUUCCCUUUUUCCUAUUUCUUUUUCUUCUAAAUUUUCUUCACUCUCUCAAUUUGUUCUAGUAUUUUUUAAUUUAAUAUUAUACUAGUGUACAAGACACAUUAUAGGCGUAUGCAAGCAAUUGAAAUUAGUGUAAAACCUCUACAAAUCAAUAAAUUUGAGACCAUAUUGAUAAAUUUAUUAAUUUAAAGAGGUACUAAUUAAUUGAUAAAUUAAUAAUGUAUUAAGUUCUCAAGUGUACUUACAAUUCAAAGAAAUGCCCAUUUAAUCAGCAAAAGUUUUAUUUUAUUUUAUGAAAAUAUAAAGCAUUCUAUUUAUAAAAGGAGACUAAAAAUCUAAGAUAUUUAUGAACUUAAGAUGAUAAUCAAUGAUAUUAGCUACCAUAAUAAAAAUGAAUGUUACCUAUUGGAUUAUUUGGGUGAAAAUGAUACAAGUUCAGAAAUCCCAAUAUUAGAAAAAUUUAUUAUUGGCAUCACUAAAAAUCAUGCUAAUGAUGAAACUGAGGAUGAUACUAUAGUUUUGGAGCCUGUUAUGCAAAAAGAAACACUCAGGGUCUGUUUGGUUGGAAGUAAAAUAUUUUCCUUGGGAAAAUAUUUUCCGUGGAAGUAAUUUUCCAUGAAAAUCAUUUCCUUUUCAUCAUUUUCAGGUGUUUGGUUAGUUUAUUGAAAAUAUUUUCUUACUUCAUUUUUCUGGUGUUUGUUUAACUUUUGAAAUAUUUUCACUUUUAUCUCUAUCUUUACUUUCUACACAUUAUAACUACAUACUUCUUCCCAUGCAAAAUAAGAAAAUUUAUCUCAUUGUUUAACUUUAAAAAAUCUUGGAGAAAUGUAUAUAUGAAUAAAAAAUAUCUCCUUAAACAAUAAACAAAUUGCUGGCCAUUUAGUGUCAAAUAUCAAUCACAUGCAACGCUUAUUGUGACAUAUAUCUUGCACUCUCACUGCUGAAAGUUUCUCUAGAAAAGAAUGUUCCUAUUAUACAUAAUUAAUUACUAGCAUAGAAUGAGUAGGAUGAGGUUUUUUUUUUAUUUUGAAUAUACUAGGGGGAGGGUUGGGUGGUACGGGGGAGGGAGUGUAAGAAAGAAGUCUUGGAUUCGAAUCCUCCUGUUUACACUAUAAAAAAAAAAAACAUACUACAAAAUGUUUUCAAUAAGUUUGGAACAUACUACAGGCAGGAUCCAUGCAUUUCGGAAAACAACUUCAGUAAAUUUGGAAGGGAAGUUGUUUUCCAUAAGAUGAGUGAAAAUAUUUUACAUAGGAAAAUGUUUUCAGUAACUUUUGUGCAACCAAACACGGGAAAUUAAGAAAAUAUUUUCCUGGAAAACAUUUUCACCCGAAACAAACGGACCCUCAAAGCAUCAAUAACACUUCAUCAUUUCUUAUUGUAACAUGAGAAUUCAAAUCCAAAACUUUUAGAUGCAAUAAGAAAAAUAAGGGACGAGACCGGUAGAUUUAAAUUUUAAGCAAUAACAAACUACAAUACACACAUAUUUUAGGAAAAUAUAAUAUAUAAUUUUAGUGAAUUAUUAAUUUAUGAUAUGAAUAGGACCAAAGGGUUAUAUAAGAUUUUCAAAAAAUUUAUUAUUUUAUUAUUUUAUCAAAAUUAUUAAAUUAGCUAAUUUACCCAAGUCAGGAUCAAAAAAUUAUAUUUAAUAGAGAUUAUUAAUUUAGCAAAUAUUAAUUUAUAGAGUUUUUAUUGGUCAUUUGUAAUAAUAUCAUUCAUGAAAAUUAGUUUUUGUGAAGGAUAUUUAUGAUAUAGUGAUUUUUUAUGGUAUUAGUUAUUUAGUAAUUAAUUUCAAUUGGCUAAUUACUAAUAUAAUUAAAGUUCAUAUUCAAAAAUAAGAGGGCGCAUAAUUAACUAAUUAACAAAAGUACCACAGGCAAUCGGCUUUCACGGGUGUGUAAUCAAUUGGCGAACCCUUUUUUUUUUUCAAUCCCACAAGCAACCGGCUUUCACCAGUUUACGGUAUAUCUUUCGGCGGUCACUCACUACCGGCCCCCACUAAGCACUAUUGGCUUUCUCUUAUUCGCUCUGUCCACGGUAAGCAAAAAUAUUCACUUUAACCUACUGAAUUUAAUCCAAUGCAUUAUCCACACGGUACUGGCCAGGUUGUUACGUCCCUACACCGUGCAUUAUUACGAUGCGCCUGACCAGAAUAAAUCAGACUAGAUGAAGGGGACAAAGGCACAAUCAACAAUGACUAUCAGCUCUAUAGUAGAAGAAGGGGACACAAAACUGUCCACACUCAACAAUUACUAUCAGCUCCACAAUAGCUGUCCACACUCAACAAUAGAAGGAAGGGACACAAAUAUCUUCCAAUUUUGUGUGGUGAUGACAAAUUUUGUCUUCCGAGUUGAGGCCGUGUCUCCUUUUCUUUUAUACUUGGCACUCCAAUGAUCCUAAUAGCGUCACAAAAUCUUUUCAAAGAUAAACAUAUUGAGAAGAAAACCUAAUUAAGUGCAAUCUUAAUUUUUACUUUACAAAUGAAGUUCGGAAACUGAUUUAUCUAAAGACAAGAAACUGUCGAUUUUAUCGGUAAAGAGAGACAACUUUUGCUUCUUUUUCUUUGGCCCCCUCUACAAAAAGGGAACAAAUAAAAGAAAAGUUCUUUGGCUUUGCAUAUAAACAUCAUCUCACAUUGUCGCUAGUCCAAUGCCAAAAAAGAAAAAAGGUCAGAUUAAAACUAAAAUCUAUAAUCAAGUAUAGCUCUUUCUAUAUCUUAAAUAUUGUAAAAUAUUUAACUAUUAAAAACUAAGAAGCUUGACGGUAAUAGAUGAAAAUUACAAAAAACAGUGUUGCUAAAUGAUGUGAGAGAAAGUUGAAAGAUUAUUUUGUGAAGUAUUAUUGUCAUGAUAUGAAGGGAAAGAAAAGAAUUAGAAAAUAAAAAAUGAAGUCUUUUUCUCAUCCUAUUUAUACUUUACUUGCGUGGUCGCUGUGUUUUGUAAAGUUAAUCAUGGUACAUGAAGACCCUAAUUGAUUUCCCAAUUAGUCUACCUAAAUCAUGGUUUGGAUUUUACUCCAUCAUUUGAGCCCCAAGCCUGCUGUUUUUAGAUGCAUGUUCCCCAGCUCGAAGAGUCCUUGCCAUGUCCAAGUUUUCUAGAAAGGAUACUUCAAGUCCAAGUAAAAUUAAAGUUCAUUUGGGAGGUCAAUACCAAUAUUCGUUAGAAUUACUAUUUUUUGGAGUUUUUUAAGAAAAAUAUACUAUAGCAAUUUAAUGUAUAUGAGGUAAAAAGGUGAUUAAAAAAUAUGUUUGUAAAAAAUGUAUAAAGUUUGAUUAUCCUUCCACUUCAUCAAUCACUUCAAGAAAAAGUUUAUUUGCCUAAAAGACACUCGGAUGAUGAUUCCAUAACUGUCAGAGUUAAUUUCUGUAUGGAUUCUGGGGGCACUCACGAAACUAAUUCGAACCUUGAGCAAUUUUUCUUUGUUAUUAUUCAUUGUUUAAUCAUUAUUCUGGUGGGGAUCAUUUUUUAAGUUAAUUAUUUUAGCUUACAAAUAUGAAAAUUUUAUUUUGCCGAAAAAUAAGCCUAAAUUAGAUAAUUAAUUUAAUGAUGUUACUAAACUAUUAAGGGAAAAGUAACUAAGCUUUUUAAAUAUGAGACUAUCGAUUGACAAAGCCAUUUGCGAAUGGAUUAAAUUAGAUGGAAUGGAUGGGAUGUUACGGUAGUCUGAUUACCAAUUUGAAAUUAAAAAAAAAUCAAUGACCAAAGUAUAAUGGCGAGUAUAUGAAAGUCAAGCAACCUUAAUUCAUGUUGGAAAAAAGAGAACACACAUUGGACAUUCAUGAACUUUGAAGUAAGUUUAACUGUUUAAGGGCGCGCUAAGAAUCUCCUCAAGAGAAUAGUUUAAGGUAAGUGGUACUUACCCCUCUGGGUUUUUUGAAAUGUUAAAUAUGAAUUUCCUCAAUUAAAUGCUUUAUUUUGAUAUAUGUAAAAUGGAUCAUAUAUGCCUAUUUGAAAUAUUUUGCUAUGCAAUGUUUUAUGAAAUGAGUGAUAUAUUUUCAUGAAAUGAAAAAAAUGUGCAUAUGAAUUGUGAAAUAAUUUUAUGUUACGGAAAGCUCUAAAUGGUCUAAAAUUGACGGUAGGGACUAUAAUCCUAACAUGUUAUGUUAUGUUAGUCAUGAGAGCUAGUAUAGAGUCUAACCGAUUGACUUAUGUUAUGUUAUGUAAUUAAGGGGUAAUCGCAACACCUUUUGAUCGCCCUCUUAAAAGGGGUUCAAUCUUUAGGCUAACUACUCAGAAACCGAAUAUUGCAUGUACUUGUUUUGUGAGACAUAUUUAUGAAAUGAGAUGACAUGAUUGAUAUGUUUUAUGAUUUGCAAGUAUGUUCAAUGAAUACAAUCAUGUCAUGUUAUGUGUUUCUAUGGCAUGUUCAGGGGUGAAUACCAUUAGAACCUGUGGGAUUAAAUAUCACGUCGGAUCGAGACCACUUAUGUGCAUGCCACUCACCUUCAAUGAAAUAUGUUUAUGUAAUAUAUGAAAUGGGAUGACAAAUAUUUUUAAUUGAUGUAUGCAUGUGAUAUGGUAUGACCGAAUUUACAAAUGUAUAUAAUAUGUAUAUAGCUACAUGAUUCGAUAGGGGAGCAAGUACUAUCUAUUGGGCAUUCAUCGCUCAACCCACAUCUUUUUAUUUUUUUUCUUGUAGUUCAAGAAACUCAGCUCAUGUACAUUUAGAAGAUAAGUGAGAGAGGUAAAUAGAUAAAUGUUUAAAUUUUAGGAAGUUAAAAUAAUGCAUUUUGUAGAUGCAAUUUAGUGAAGUAUAUGUAUUUCAUUGAUAUCUGUAAGAUUUAAACUUUAGUCAAAUUUUGUAAGUUAAGAUCAUGAUGCCUUGUAUUUAUGGGAGUAAAGUCUCAUAGAUACAACGUACCACUUUGCAAAUCCGAUCUAGGGACCCGAAUUUAGGGCGUGACAAGAUUUAAGUUGGCGAUUUGUUUGAGAUCCUCAAGAUUGUGAUACACUGUUCCUCUAAAAGAAUUGAGAUUCAUCAAUUUGGAUAAGUCUCUAGAAUUGUAAGACCUGUUAUCGAAUGAGUCAAGUAUCUCCAACUGCUUGGCCAACCCAUCUACCAAAGCUUAGGGCUAGAGAAAGAGAUCAGGAGAUGAAAGAUAUCUCAAAUGUCCCAAGUUGGGUUUUUUUCUGAAACAUUGACUAUUAGUUAAAUCAAGCGGGAAGGCCGAAAGAGGAGGAUGGUAAGGGAUGUAGAAAGUGUUAUUGAUAUGUAGAACAGAGAGAGAUGGAAGCUUUAAAUAAUAAAAAAAAAAGGUACUAGGAAGAUUUAAAUAAAAAAAAAGAAAAGAAAAGAAUUAAAUUCAAAGAAAAAUUCUAACUGCAUAGGAAGUUUAAAGAAAUAAACAAAAUUUAAGCAAAAUGAAAAACGAGGAACGAAAGUCAUUUGUUGAUACAAGAAAAAGGCACCCAAAAAAAAAACUGAUUUGAUUUGAUUUGUCUACAUGUAUGUAGCUGUUUAUUGUCCUUUAUUGAAAAUUAUUGAUAGAUUUCAAAUUCAGUACGAGUAAAAAGCUGUGAAUUAUAGAAGAAGGGAUGGAAUCAAGAAACCUGCAUUGGGUAGUGGUAGAAUUGCUCUGUUUUGGGAGAAUGAUGGAUCUUAGUAGGAAAAGUAAAUACUUUAGAUUGGUUAUGGUAAUGUUUCUUAAAAAAGUAGAGAAUAAUGUGGUGGUGUCUAAAUCAUUGAAAUUGGGAAAGUUUCCUUAUUAAUUUAGCCCUCUCUUCUUAAGAACACAAGAACAUAGAUGGCCUCCUCCCAACUACAUUGCUGAAUCUAGCUCUAUGCCAACAGCUUGUGAGCACAAGAAAAGUUCGAGCAGCUAAACAAAGUGAGACUAACCAAAAGUGACACAUUUUUAAAUUGACACAUUUUUAUUGGUGCUUCCACUAAAAGUGAAGGAUAAUAUAACAGAUUGGUAUCUUUCCCUAAUAGCUAAGUAAAGAUGCUCGCAGUACAUACAAAUGCUAGCUACACAACAAGACCUAACCAACUUGCAAUCUUGUUGGCCCUUGUCAUGCUGGUUUCAGAUCAUUUGGAGUCCCAUAACAGCUGCUAUGUGCAAAGAAACUUACGACACAGUAGCUGAAACAUGCAAAUGAAAGAUGGUGCAAGACCUUAGGCAAGAGUUUUCAAUACAGAAAAUUGGUAAUAGAGGCUCAGAAUUUCCUGCAAUGAAGCUUAAUAGUUUAACACAUGUUUCGGAGUUUUAAUUAACUUUCUUUGGUGUCUAACCAUGUGGAAUGAAACUAGAAAAAGGACUUAAUCAGUCAUCAUAAGAUAAAAUUGCAAUACGCCGAGCUUUAACAAUAUAAGAAACAAACUUAAUCUUUCAUCAUAAGAUUAAUUUGUAUGUAUAACAAGCUUUAUUAAGAAUACAAUACUCUGCCUUUGUACCUUUUUCGGGAGAAUUAGCAGAGAAAAUUUUCAUAUAAAUGUUAAUAAAGAGUUACAGACUAACAUAGCGCCAGCUUUUACACCAAAAAAAAAUCACAAAAAUGAACGAACUUUAAUUUUAGAACCAAAAGACAUAUUUGUGAAUCAAAAGACAUCACAGAUUGAAUUUUGAAAGCAGAAUUCUAUAAUUCCACUUCAAAUCACAUUAAAUUUAGAAAAAAAAAUGUGAAAACACUGUAAGCAUCCAUGUUACAAAUCAAUUAUUCCAAGUUUUUCAAAUAAUAUCCCUCUAUGCAUUAAAAUUUCCAUAUAAAUUAAAAAUUGGAGGAAAAAAGAAAAGAGAUUAAGUAAGUUUAAUUACCUCACAUUUGAGUCGGAUGAGAUCAGGGAAAGCAAGGAGAUUCAGUGUAGAAUUUUCUCAAGACAAGACCCAAGGUUUUGGUCAAACAGGGUUGCUUGGACAAACAGUUUCUACGAAUAGUGUUCGUUCAACCCCUCUGCACAACGACACGAAAAUGAAGGGAAACAACCACAAAAUUGAGCUCAAUAUACAAUUAAAUCUUACAAAAUUUCUUCAAAAAGCUGAUACAGAAGUGAAAACUGUGAGAAAGACGGGAAAAAGAUUAAACAGAAGGACAACAGAUAAAUAGCCACAAAAUUGAGCUAAAUCUGCUAUUAAAUCUUACAAAAUUUCUUCACCUUUUGGAAGUGGAUCUAUUUUUUCAUAAAACAGGGGAAUGACAACAAAAGUUGUUGUCAUAGACAAAAAAUUCAUGUUAUGACAAUAUUUUAGUGAUUUUUCUCAUAACAAAAAUAUGUGUUUUAUUAAUGACAAUAACACAAGUCCUCACCAAAAAAUUAACAUUAUGGGAUAAUAAGCACUAUUGUCAUUAAAUUUAAUUUAUUCAUGACAAAAUUCGAUGUUGUCACGAGGUGUUGUCAUAUAAAUUUGAUGUAUAUCAGAUAGUAUUUAAGGCAAAAGCAGCUAAACAGCAAAACAAAUCUGACUCCACGGCAAAUUCCCAAAAAACAACUACAAAAAAUUUACUAUUUUAUCACAUAUCUUUGGAGUCAUGGCUAAAUGAUUCCUCAUUUAUUACUACGUACUAAUAUAGUCUCUUAUCUUGAUAUGAAGUUGCAAUUUAGAAUUUUUGACAGAAGAUUAAGGGUCCGUUUGUUUUGGGUGAAAAUAUUUUCCUAAUUUCCCGUGUUUGGUUGCACAAAAGUUACUGAAAACAUUUUCCUAUGUAAAAUAUUUUCACUCAUCUUAUGGAAAACAACUUCCCUUCCAAACUUACUGAAGUUGUUUUCCGAAAUGCAUGCAUCCCGCCUGUAGUAUGUUCCAAACUUACUGAAAAUAUCUUGUAGUAUGUUCUUCUUCUUUUUUAGUGUAAACAGGAAGAUUCGAACCCAAAACCUCUUCCUUACACUCCCUCCCCCGUACCACCCAACCAUCCCCCUAGUAUAUUCAAAAUAAAAAAAAAAAACCUCAUCAUGCUCAUCUUAUGUUAGUAAUUAAUUAUGUAUAAUAGGGACAUUCUUUUCUAGAGAAACUUUUAGCAGCGAGAGUGCAAGAUAUAUGUCACAAUAAGCAUUGCAUGUGAUUGAUAUUUGACACUAAAUGACCAACAAUUUGUUUAUUGCUUAAGGAGAUAUUUUUUAUUCAUAUAUACAUUUCUCCAAGAUUUUUUAAAGUUAAACAAUGAGAUAAAUUUUCUUAUUUUGCAUGGGAAGAAGUAUGUAGUUAUAAUGUGUAGAAAGUAAAGAUAGAGAUAAAAGUGAAAAUAUUUCAAAAGUUAAACAAACACCAGAAAAAUGAAGUAAGAAAAUAUUUUCAAUAAGCUAACCAAACACCUGAAAAUGAUGAAAGGGAAAUGAUUUUCAUGGAAAAUUACUUCCACAGAAAAUAUUUUCCCAAGAAAAACAUUUUACUUCCAACCAAACAGACCCUAAGAAGAAAAAAUAAUUAACGAAGAAGUCACUUGAAUUGCACAUGCAUGCACUGUUAAAACUACAAAUAAAUGACCAAUUUUGUCCUCUUAUCUUUUAAGUUUUUGACCAAUAUGGUCGCUUAGUACUAUGGCAAACUAAUUUGGUCCUUUAAACUUAAAAAAUUUGGCGAAAGUGAUACUUUAAACGGAAAUUCGGGAGUUGCUUAUGAAAUUAAGGAUUUUUUUCGUGCAAACAAUAUUAUAUAUUGGGGCGAUCUAGUUGAAGUUGCAAGCUGAACUUGAUACGGAUUCCUAUUUGUAAUUAAAAAAAAAAAGGAAACAAGAUGAUAAACAAAUAUAAACAGGACAAGCAAAGCAAACAAAUGUAAAGUCUGCCAACUAAACUUAUAAAUUUAUAACCAAUAAAAAAAUUGUCUUGCAUCUUUUCCUACUUAACUUAUAUAUUUCAUUCUAUUCAAUUGUAACUCUUUGGCAUCUUAUAUUUAACAAUCCUUCAUGUAUAUAUAUAUAUAUAUAUAUAUAUAUAUAUAUAUAUAUAUAUAUAUAUAUAUAUAUAUAUGUAUGUAUGUAUGUAUGUAUAUGGUUCUGUCCAAUUAGUAAUAAAAAAUAAUGAUCUUAAAAUUUUUCUAUAAAUAUCGAUAGUAAAUUCAUUCAUCUUUAAGAAAAAAAUUGAUAACAUUGCUGCAAAAAAGGAAAAGUUACUAAACCCAAACCAAAAAAAUCUCAAAAAAGAAAAAUAAAUUUCCACCAUCAUUUUGUCCUCCCAGUCUUCCACGGGCACCACUUGCACCGGGAAACAAUUCUAGUAACUGAGAAUGGAAUCAAAGCGCAUCAUUGUUCUUAACACAAGUUCUUAUUGUUGGUUUUGAUAUCAAUAAGACUUGAAGGCAACAUGAUGCUUCUUUGUCACCGAGUGCUAAACAAAAUUUAAGUUUAAUCCAAGAUAUUUGAUUAAAUAGGGAUGGUAAUUUAAAACAAUACAUGGGAAGCACAAAUAGUUUAAAUAGUUAUUAGGCAUUUUUUACUCCAUGCAACGCUAUUUGUUGAUGAGUACACAUACUGAGCUAUUAAAUUUAAUUUAUGAGAGAGUAUGUCAACCCAUUUCCAAAGACAAGGAAUUUAAUAUACAAUAUAGAAGGCAAUGCUUUCAAAUAUAAACUUACUUCCUCAUCACCAAAUUCCUUAAUCAGUCAUGGAACAGGAAUUACAUUAGAUGAUGCUUCAGAUAAACAAAAAUAAAUAUUUGGAAGCUAAAACUAAAAAGAAUCUCACAGAGCAAGUACUAUGAUCCCGGCCCGUUUCUUCCGAAGAGGAAAAAAAGAUUAAAAAAAACACAAUAGUCAUUAAAAAGACAAAAGAAAAUAUUGAAUGAUGUUGGUGAAGCUUAUCAAAAUUGAGAUUGGAAUUGGAUGCUAAGGAAAAGGGAAUUCCAAGAACUGUAAAUUGAAUAUUAAAAAGAGAAAAAUUGGAGGAGAAAAAGUAAAAGGAGAAAAAGAGUACCUGUAGAUUUUAACUGAAGACACGUGGCUUAUUUUAUCAUAAUCUUGUCCUUGUUGACCAUUCUCUAUCCUAACUCUGUUGUUGAAUUCUUCAGGCAUUUGCGAAAGACACACCUCUUUUAGGGUGGUUACAUAUCUCAACCCAUCUGGAAUCAUUUCCAAUUGUUUACAGGGCCCAAUCCAUAAAUCUAACAGCUUAGGCAUGGCCCCUCCUUCCACCUUCCACUGCUUCAGGUUAUCCAGAUCACAAAGCCCGAGAUGUGUUAGUUGGGGAAAUCCAAUUGAGUGGCAGAUCAUUUCUUGGCCUCGAAAAGAAUCUGACCCAAGAUCCAGUAUUCUUAGCUUAGGAAGCUUCUCGAGUGUUGCCAUUGGGUCUUCCUCAAUUCUGCUAUAACUCAGGCUUAAUUGAGUAAGUCCUGCAGGGUGAGGAACCGUCUGGGAUUGGUAAUCUGGCAACUUCUUGCAUAAACUAUUCCUGAUCUCCAAUUCAUGAAUAUUCCUACUAAACAACACCCUUGAAAGAACAUCCAAACUCCCGUUGCUGUCAUUCGAACAUCCAAAAUUACAUCUUCUGAUUAUAAGUGAGCUGACGCGCAAGCAGUCCAGGUUUGAUAUAUGAUUCAUGAUGUGUUCCAGGUCCUCAAGAUUUUCAUACACUAUUGCUUUGAAAGAUCUGAGAUUCCACAAUUUGCAUACAUCUUCAGGAUAGCAAAAUCUGUUAUCGACUGAUUCAAGUAUCUCCAGCUGCUUGCUCAACCGCAGCUUAGGCUGAGGGCCCCACUUAAGCCGAGGGCCCAACCGCCAGUUCGGAAGAUAAAGAUAUCUCAAAUAUUUCAAUUUCCAUAGGACAUUCGGUAUUCUACAGGAAUUAUCACUAUCAGAUAAAUCAAGAGUUUCCAAGUACUUUAAAUUGCCCAAGGAAUAUGGCAAGUUUAUACUAUGACCUCUCAAUCUCAAACAUCUCAAAUGAAUAAACUUACCGACAUAUCCCAAAGGUGAUUUGAGAUAACUACUUUGGGAGGCCAUAUCGAAGGAUAAAAUUGCCAAAACUCUGAGCAUCUUCAAAUUCUUGACUUGGGACAUUAUUCUCACCCCUGGAUUAGAAUAGUCCCAUUUACCUACCAACGAAUCACACAAGAAUGAGCGCAGAUGCUUAGUUUGUUCUUUUGGCAGAAAGUUGUAUUGAGAGAUAUCCUCUGGAAGCAAACGAAGGACUAAACCAUACUGUGCUUCAGUUGUGGGAGAAGAAUCUCGUGAAGGACUUCGAUCGACCAGCUUAUACAAAUUCUCCUCUUUUGCCUUGGCUAAGCAUAGAUCUCUCAUAAGAUCAUGAAGCCGACAUGACUCCAACUGUGUUAUUGCAGGCUUCCCCUUCUCAUAUGCUUUAAUUUCAACCAUGCAUCUUAUUGCUAAUUCUUUCAAGUAACGCUCUGCAACAUCCAUCAUCGUUUCUUGUUCCCUUUUAUCAUUCUCAAAUAUCAUACCUUCUCCUAUCCACAUCUGAUAUAAACUCUCUACUCUAAUGUCGGAAUCUUCCCUGAAUUUACCCAAGUAAAGGAAGCAUGGUUUUAGUUGCCAAGGGAGGUCAUAAUAACUGUAAGCUAAAACCUUGGGCACCUCUCCUUCUUUUCCAAUUUUUUCUCCCUUAUCCAGAUAAGAUUUGAUAUUCUUAUGCACUUCAUUCCAUUCCCUGAAGGUUUUUUUAGUUCUAAGAAUUCCACCCAAAACCACCACAGCCAAUGGAAGACCCCUACAGUUAUUCAACAUUUUCUUUCCUAACUCUUCCAUCUUGCCCAAAUCUUCACAACCUGUGUAGCAUUAAACAAACUGAAUUAAUAUCAACUUCGACGCAUAUAUCAUCCAUAAGCAUCAUGUUAUCAUUUAACAACUAUACAAAAACUUUGAUAGUCUGUUAAUCGGCAAGUCUCCCAAUCCAAAGACUUGAGACCUAUCAAUAAUCUUGGAAAAAGGCUAUCCUAAGCACUGUUCAAAGACUCAUCCAAGUUUGAGCGUCACUGGAAUGGGCCCCAACUCAGAUGAGUCAUCAUUAAGAUGGAGCUCCCCAUUCUGAGAUGGGUCUCCUAUUCAUUGGAGACGCAUGAAUUGCCAGUGUCUCGUUUAGACUCGGUCAACUCAGACCGAGUCGACCCGGAGACUCAAAAAAUUGCCACAACCAUCGGAGUCAUCCAACUUCAACUCGGAUCCAAGUUUCUAGUAUUCUAAAAUCCAUGAAGAGGCAAUGAAAAUCAGAAAAUAACACGUCAAGAACAUUGAAAAUCCAUCAACACUAAUUAUGAAAAUACAAUAACAGAUGUAAAGAAAAAUAAAAAGCAUGAGAUAGGUAAAUAAAGAAACCGGGGAGAGGAAAGUUGAGAGGAAAAAGAAACCAGGAAAGUUUGGACUUGGGAAGAAGGAAUUGGGUUAUGGCUGUGGUGGAGCAUGAAACCAAGAAGACUGGGUCUGAAGUCGGGGAGCAAGACCCAUUAAAACUUUGACUUCGACAGAUAUAUCCUUUAUUGCCAGUAAGUGGUCGUAGAUAUUGUGAUUAUCAAACAUACCCCCGUUCAUUUUGGUAAGAAGUUCUAAAGCUUCUUACUAAAAAUUCGUAGGUAAUUCCAUGUUUCUUUUUAGUGUGCCAUUUCACUUUGAAAUCCAAAACUUCUUAAAUAUUAUUGUGUUCUGUUCUUUAAAUGUUUAAAAUUCCUUAUGAGCUCUUCUGACAAUUUUGGAUAGACAUACAUAUAAAUAUGUAGCACACUAAAAAUAUAUUUACCCAAUAUUUACUGUAAUCUGAAACACAAAAUGAUUAGUGACACAUCAAUUUAAAAUCUUAUAGUUAGCAAUAAGGGUGAAAAAUAGAAAUUAUUUUAUCGCAAAUUUAAAACAUUCAUUUGUUUGGAAAGAAUAGAGAAUGAAUUUUAAUAAGAAUUACAUAUUUGUCUAAAACAGUGACGAUUUUGCUGCGCUGAUGGGAAAUGCAUGUUUGUUUGGAUAGGAGUUUAUUUGGAAGAUUUAUUUGAGAUAAUUACUGUAGUACUUUUUGUGAUGUAAUGUAUGUGAGAUAAAAAGGUGAUUGAGAAGAUAAAAAGGUGAUUGAAAUUUGUGAAUUAAAUUUUUUUAUUUCAAAUCUUCUUAGUCCAAACAUAGACCGCCGCAACCAUUGCUUUGAUUUUUGAACCAUGACACUAAGAGACAUGUUAGUUUUUUGAUUUUUUAAAUCCACUGGAUUGUAUGAAUCUGAACAUUUAAAAAAAAACAAAAAAAAA